rnacentral:rRNA from 1 species
AGAGUUUGAUCCUGGCUCAGAUUGAACGCUGGCGGCAUGCCUUACACAUGCAAGUCGAACGGUAACGCGGGGCAACCUGGCGACGAGUGGCGAACGGGUGAGUAACACAUCGGAACGUGCCCAGUAGUGGGGGAUAGCCCGGCGAAAGCCGGAUUAAUACCGCAUACGACCUACGGGUGAAAGCAGGGGAUCGCAAGACCUUGCGCUAUUGGAGCGGCCGAUGGCAGAUUAGGUAGUUGGUGGGGUAAAAGCCUACCAAGCCGACGAUCUGUAGCUGGUCUGAGAGGACGACCAGCCACACUGGGACUGAGACACGGCCCAGACUCCUACGGGAGGCAGCAGUGGGGAAUUUUGGACAAUGGGCGCAAGCCUGAUCCAGCCAUGCCGCGUGCGGGAAGAAGGCCUUCGGGUUGUAAACCGCUUUUGUCAGGGAAGAAACGGUCUGGGUUAAUACCCUGGGCUAAUGACGGUACCUGAAGAAUAAGCACCGGCUAACUACGUGCCAGCAGCCGCGGUAAUACGUAGGGUGCGAGCGUUAAUCGGAAUUACUGGGCGUAAAGCGUGCGCAGGCGGUUAUGCAAGACAGAUGUGAAAUCCCCGGGCUCAGCCUGGGAACUGCAUUUGUGACUGCAUAGCUAGAGUACGGUAGAGGGGGAUGGAAUUCCGCGUGUAGCAGUGAAAUGCGUAGAUAUGCGGAGGAACACCGAUGUCAAAGGCAAUCCCCUGGACCUGUACUGACGCUCAUGCACGAAAGCGUGGGGAGCAAACAGGAUUAGAUACCCUGGUAGUCCACGCCCUAAACGAUGUCAACUGGUUGUUGGGAGGGUUUCUUCUCAGUAACGAAGCUAACGCGUGAAGUUGACCGCCUGGGGAGUACGGCCGCAAGGUUAAAACUCAAAGGAAUUGACGGGGACCCGCACAAGCGGUGGAUGAUGUGGUUUAAUUCGACGCAACGCGAAAAACCUUACCUACCCUUGACAUGUCUGGAAUCCUGAAGAGAUUUAGGAGUGCUCGAAAGAGAGCCAGAACACAGGUGCUGCAUGGCUUCGUCAGCUCGUGUCGUGAGAUGUUGGGUUAAGUCCCGCAACGAGCGCAACCCUUGUCAUUAGUUGCUACGAAAGGGCACUCUAAUGAUACUGCCGGUGACAAACCGGAGGAAGGUGGGGAUGACGUCAGGUCAUCAUGGCCCUUAUGGGUAGGGCUACACACGUCAUACAAUGCCCGGUACAGAGGGUUGCCAACCCGCGAGGGGGAGCCAAUCCCAGAAAACCGGUCGUAGUCCGGAUCGUAGUCUGCAACUCGACUGCGUGAAGUCGGAAUCGCUAGUAAUCGCGGAUCAGCUUGCCGCGGUGAAUACGUUCCCGGGUCUUGUACACACCGCCCGUCACACCAUGGGAGCGGGUUCUGCCAGAAGUAGUUAGCCUAACCGCAAGGGGGGCGAUUACCACGGCAGGGUUCGUGACUGGGGUGAAGUCGUAACAAGGUA